rnacentral:lncRNA from 1 species
CUUGGGAGGCUGCGUCCGCGCGCCGGCGAGGCGAGGCGGCCGGGCCCUGCGCGUCAGGCCUGAGACCUGGGAGGAAGCUGGAGAAAAGAUGCCCUCUGAAUCUUUCUGUUUGGCUGCCCAGGCUCGCCUCGACUCCAAAUGGUUGAAAACAGAUAUACAGCUUGCAUUCACAAGAGAUGGGCUCUGUGGUCUGUGGAAUGAAAUGGUUAAAGAUGGAGAAAUUGUAUACACUGGAACAGAAUCAACCCAGAACGGAUAGCUCCCUCCUGGAAAAGUAGAGACGAGGUUUCACCGUGUUAGCCAGGAUGGUGUCGA